CCCUCUGUUUAUAGCUUAAUAAUUUAUAAAAUCAGUCCAGUGAGCUUUGUCAGCCAGAGAGUGCAGUCUAGUCAGACACUGUUUAGGAGAGCUUUGGCUCUCUUCUGAAAUAGGUGAUGGACAUUAAGAGGAUUGGCUCUUAUUACAAAACCCAAUGAGACUGUUGAAUGUCCCCGCAGCCAUAAACUAAUCAGAUGAGUGCCUUUUCCUAUCGCAUGGAUGGCAGUUAUUACUUUACAGCUGUCCUAGAGGGCAACAUCUCACCAUUUCCUGGUCUGCAAACAGCAUUCAAUGCUCCCAGCGUCUGGUAAAUAUGAUUUUCCAAGUCAGCUCCAGAGUAAAGCUCUGUCUUUGCAGCCAGCUCUUCCAAACACACAUCAGCACCCACAGGCAUUGACUGUGUGCACACCCUCAGGAUGCACAGACGAGCCUAGGAGACAGACAAUGUGGGACAAAUAACUCACCUGAUGGUCAGGUGGAGGGACAAAGAUGAUCUGGUCCAGCCUGCCAGGUCUGAGGAGGGCGCUGUCUAAGCAGUCAGGUCUGUUUGUGGCGGCGACAACCAUCACCUCUUUGUUGCAUACUUCUUGGCACUCCAACUGUCAAGGAGCAAAAACAGCUUUUAGAAUAAAGUGUUGACUAAAUUACCUCAUACUGAAUAUAAGGUCAAAUGUGAACCAUUUCUGCUUUAACAAUGUACAAACCACCAGAACUAUAGUUUCUAAUCUAGAGAAAUUGCUCAUUUUAAUCAAGUAGAAGGGCUGUUUCAUCUGAUUGCCUGUAUUUGUCUUUGUAUCCCCUUUGAUCACCAGGUUGGUGGUUGUCUGCCAGAAGCUGUCAUAAUUUGACCUUUUAUCCACUUCGAAGCAUUUGAGUGGGACACAUUUGGUGGUUUUAAUUAUAGUAACCAUUGGAUGGGUCGACCUGAAGUUAUCAGAGAUACAAACUGAGCAAAUGCAGGCAAGCAGUGUUGGUGAAAAUAAAAAUGAGCUAUGAUCAAUAAAGAAAUCCUAACUGGGAGAACCUGACAGGAACUGAAUCUGACCUGUUUCUGCGUGCUAUUCUCCUCCAUCCCCUCCGCCUGGAGGAUCUUCUCCGUCCCUCUCCUCUCCAGCGUCUUCAACCCAAUCCCAUCCAUCUCAUUCAGGAGCACAGAGAGGAGGCGUGUCUGUACACUGUUCGGUGUCUGACUGCUAGAUCGCGAGCCAAUCAGAGAGUCAAUCUCAUCAAGGAACAGGAUACAGGGAGCACAGGCCCGGGCCUGGCGAAACAGCUGUAUGUGGGCCGCCAGGUGCAUGUGUUAAUCGGUGGAACAUGAGGAUACAAACACAGCUGGUGAUAUUACAGACUGGAAAAAGAAAGUACCUGCGCCAAAGCCUUCUCUGAGUCUCCCACAUACGGAGAGUAGAGGUCAGCACCACUGACUGACAGGAAGGCACAGUUAGUGGAGCCCGCUGCAGCCUUCACCAGCGUGGUCUUCGCACAUCCUGGAGGUCCGUAGAGCAGCAGGCCGCGGGGCCGACACAGACCCAGACGAACAAACGCCUCUGGGUAUAACAUCGGCCACUCGAUACUCUUUGAUGUUCAGACACAAGAGAAUAGAGGGCCUCCAAUCUGAUCCCAUGACAUCGGACACAGCUCCGUCCUUCCCAGGCUGCCCCGCAGGCAGGAGGGCCGCACCGCCUUCAGGGCCUCCUGGAAGUGCAGCAUACCAACCACCUGCUCUCCUGAACUCUACAGACAAUAUUAACAAAGCAAAACAAUUCAGAAAGGUCAUACAUGACUUCAACGCAGUAGAGGGUCCAUUCUAAGCACUAUACUCAGUGUCAAUUCUACUUUACUUUUAAUUUAGGUAAUUUGGUGCAAGAUCUGUAGUUUGUUCCAUGUACAGAGUAAGAGAACGCUGUUUUAUUUUCUUAUUCUCUUUCUACUCUCAGAAGAGUCCUGGGUAGGAUAGGAUAACUGUGCAAAAGCUAUUUAAGGUCUAUAAAGUACCAUUACCAUAUUUCAGUCAAAGUCAACUUUAAAAUCAACUUAUCAAUUUGCACUGUAGUGUGCAAUAUUUUCCCCUGUUCAGU